ensembl:lncRNA
CUGGGAUCCUGGGUGCCUCACCGGAUGGUCUGGGAUCCUGGGUGCCCCUCACCAGAUGGUCUGGGAUCCUGGGUGCCUCACCGGAUGGUCUGGGAUCCUGGGUGCCCCUCACCAAACGGUCUGGGAUCCUGGGUGCCUCACCGGAUGGUCUGGUGGUGGAGGUCAAGUGUUCCUAUGGUGCCUAAAAGGGACCUGACCAUUGAAGAGGAGGUCGAAUGAUUUCUAUAUCCAAGCGGAGGGAAGGUCUUACUGCCUCUGUGACGACCAUCCUUCCUGGCACCAGGUCCAAGUCCAAGGUCAGUUCCACAUCACCGGAAGGGACACCUGCUUCUUCGUUAUCGUGGACCACCACAGCCUCCCGUCCAGCGUGACGACCUCUGGCACACUCAUAUUGCUGGACUAGAGAAGUGUUUCAAGGACCACAUGCUCCCAAAGGCAGCACUGCAACAGUGAACUGUAGAUUUAUUGUAAAUAGGUUUUACAACAGUGAACUGUAGAUUUAUUGUAAAUAGGUUUUACAACAGUGAACUGUAGAUUUAUUGUAAAUAGGUCUUACAACAGUGAACUGUAGAUUUAUUGUAAAUAGGUUUUACAACAGUGAACUGUAGAUUUAUUGUAAAUAGGUUUUACAACAGUGAACUGUAGAUUUAUUGUAAAUAGGUUUUACAACAGUGAACUGUAGAUUUAUUGUAAAUGGUUUUACAACAGUGAACUGUAGAUUUAUUGUAAAUAGGUUUUACAACAGUGAACUGUAGAUUUAUUGUAAAUAGGUUUUACAACAGUGAACUGUAGAUUUAUUGUAAAUGGUUUUUAAACACUGUCACUGGAUCAUCAUUCUCGUCACGGGCCUCGUCCUCCUGUCAGUACCUGCUUUCAGGGAAGACGAUGGUCCAAAAAUAUUCCACAUAGUUCAUACACACACACGAGACUCCCAGAAUAAUGUAUAUUACACACACUAGACUCCCAGAAUAAUGUAUAUUACACACACUAGACUCCCAGAAUAAUGUAUAUUACACACACUAGACUCCCAGAAUAAUGUAUAUUACACACAUGAGACUCCCAGAAUAAUGUAUAUUACACACACUAGACUCCCAGAAUAAUGUAUAUUA